rnacentral:rRNA from 1 species
GACGAACGCGGCGGCGUGCCUAAUACAUGCAAGUAGAACGCUGAAGGAGGAGCUUGCUUCUCCGGAUGAGUUGCGAACGGGUGAGUAACGCGUAGGUAACCUGCCUGGUAGCGGGGGAUAACUAUUGGAAACGAUAGCUAAUACCGCAUAACAUUGACUAUUGCAUGAUAGUCAAUUAAAAGGUGCAAAUGCACCACUACCAGAUGGACCUGCGUUGUAUUAGCUAGUUGGUGGGGUAACGGCUCACCAAGGCUACGAUACAUAGCCGACCUGAGAGGGUGAUCGGCCACACUGGGACUGAGACACGGCCCAGACUCCUACGGGAGGCAGCAGUAGGGAAUCUUCGGCAAUGGACGGAAGUCUGACCGAGCAACGCCGCGUGAGUGAAGAAAGGUUUUCGGAUCGUAAAAGCUUCUGUUGUAAAGAGAAAGAAACGAAGUGUGAAGAAGUGGAAAAGUUCCACCACUG